AGCGACGACAUCUCCUCCACGUCUCUUCAAUUUUUGGCGCGAGCGUUUGCUCGGCCGACGUCGGUUUCCUGUGCUGAAUACCUAUUGCGAUGGCAUUGUGUCGACUACGUUUGUUCCCUUCCCACCUUGUUCCGCUGCUCCACGUGGGCGUGCGGUGCGGGGCGGGCCAAAUCGCACGCGUCGUGUGUCGCACCGUGUUCGUCCCUUGGGGCGGCGUUCGGGUUGUCGACCCACGACGUGUUGCUCGGUCUCUCGGGUACGGUGCAUCAUGUGGGUACGAGGCCGUCGGCCUCCGAGCACCACAAUCAAGCAUUCUACGCUUCGUGCGAACGACCGUCGGUUCGGUCUUUGGCCGUGCUCUCGUACCUCGGUUCAAGUCGGGCCGACGUCGAUGAGGAAUGCUACCUGGUUGAUCCAGC
rnacentral:misc_RNA from 1 species